rnacentral:rRNA from 1 species
GAUGAACGCUGGCGGCGUGCUUAACACAUGCAAGUCGAACGGAAAGGCUCCUGCUUGCAGGGGUACUCGAGUGGCGAACGGGUGAGUAACACGUGGGUGAUCUGCCCCGCACUUCGGGAUAAGCCUGGGAAACUGGGUCUAAUACCGGAUAGGACCACAUUUUGGAUGGUGUGGUGGAAAGUUUUUCGGUGUGGGAUGAGCUCGCGGCCUAUCAGCUUGUUGGUGGGGUAAUGGCCUACCAAGGCGUCGACGGGUAGCCGGCCUGAGAGGGUGUACGGCCACAUUGGGACUGAGAUACGGCCCAGACUCCUACGGGAGGCAGCAGUGGGGAAUAUUGCACAAUGGGCGCAAGCCUGAUGCAGCGACGCCGCGUGGGGGAUGACGGCCUUCGGGUUGUAAACUCCUUUCGCUAGGGACGAAGCGCAAGUGACGGUACCUGGAGAAGAAGCACCGGCUAACUACGUG